GAUAAACGCUGGCGGCGCACAUAAGACAUGCAAGUCGAACGGACAGAAGCACAUUCUUUUAGAUUGAGUGGAUGUUAGUGGCGGACUGGUGAGUAACGCGUAAGGAACCUACCUUUUAGAGGGGAAUAACAGUGAGAAAUCAUUGCUAAUACCGCAUAUGCCGCGAGUAGCACAUGCUACAAACGGGAAAGGAGUAAUUCGCUAGAAGAUGGCCUUGCGUCUGAUUAGAUAGUUGGUGGGGUAACGGCCUACCAAGUCAACGAUCAGUAGCCGGACUGAGAGGUUGAACGGCCACAUUGGGACUGAGAUACGGCCCAG
rnacentral:rRNA from 1 species